CGUCUGCUCUGUUCUGGAUGCGACCAGCUGCCACCACUUACCUCAUCACCGCUGCCUUCUUAAGGAUCUCCUGGAUCUUCAGUCGGUGCCAGUUCGUUUUACCUCCCACGGAAUAAUCUACUCUGGAUCUCACCUGGUCGCAGUCCUCUGGUUUCACGCCGUCUCACCUCUGGAAUCCUGCAACUGCUCUCCUCCAGCCAGCCGCCGCGCCUCUGUUGGAAAUAAGCCAAAACUCACCUUCCUAUAUAAAAACUUCUAAACUCACCUUAAUGUCCGAGUCUCCUUCUGGGUUACAGCAUCUGGGUCACUCCGAAUUAUAGUCAUACCAUGACAGAACGAACUGGCCAAACUCCUGACCCAGCUGACCCUGAAGGGCUCCAACACACCUUAUCCAUACAAGGAAAUCUUCUUACACGUCAAGCGGAGGCCAUCACUCUCAUGUCCUCGGCCCAGUGGGAUCUUUUUCGUCGCCUCGACAGCAUCACGCAAAUCAGAUGAUUUAGUUAACACUCUCCUAAUAUCCUGCAGUUUUCUUUCAAGUUUUGUUGUUGCUCCAUCUGUUUUUGUUUUUUAGAUGCAGAAUAGCCAAUGACUAGGCCCCUGAUAAACGCCUUAGAUGUUUCCCAUAGCAAUGAGGGAUUAUUGCUAGACUUUGAAUUGAUAUCGAAGAAAAUUUUAAAUUGUUUAGUAAAAUAUGAUGUAAAUGUAUGAUCUUUCAAAAUGUGCACAUCAAAUCUCCACCUCCUACUCCUCGAAGAAAUACAGGUGACUGUCAAUUCUAGAUACAGCGCUGCAUGAUCACUAACCAAAAUAUUUCCAAUUUCACAAGAAGAGACUUGUUGCACCUGAACUUUUGUAAUAAAAAAAUAGUCAAUAAGAGUGCGGCAUUUAUGAGGAGGAGAGUAGAAAGUAACCUCAUGGUUAGUGGGAUGAAAGGUUCGCCAAACAUCAGCUAGACAGAUUUCGUCACAAAUGGCAGAAAGGGCUCGUGCUUGGUUGGUUGGGGGGGAGCUUAGAGAAGGAUAUCUAUCUACCAAAGGAUUAAGCAGUUAAAAUCACCUCUUUCCUGUUUGGAACGUGAGGGGGGAGGAGUCAGUCAGUCCAGGUCUCUGAGACAGAGACUGUUUUAAAAUAUUUACAAAACCAAGUCCAGAUGAUCGUUGUUACAACGUUUUUUGUGUAAAUUUGGAGAAAAACCCUAAAUAGGUCAAUCAUAACACUUAAUAUAUCAGUAAAUUACUGUUCCUUUUUUUGCCGGGAAACCGGCGGUGGCGCGAGCGCUGCCAUAAUUAUUAGCUAAUGUAACCCCGAUUCUCACAAACCUCCCUUCCUCUGCUCCACCACAAUAACUAUACAGUCGAAA